UCCCAACCAAAUCUCUCAAAAUCCCUGAAUUUGAAAGCCCCAACCCUGGUGGCACAGGCAAGUCUAAAAUGGGUCUCUUAGAAAUAUGCCCACAAUAUGAACACAUGAACUUGCCACCACCAGGAUUCUGAUCUCUAUAUGGAGUCAAACAAUUUCUACACCUCCGUGUUGCUGUUUUCCUUAAUUUCUGCAUUUCAAUAGCCUCAAAUCUCUUCCUUUCCCUAAGUGAUGCAUUUCUUCUCGCUCGCCAAGCUGACAACUUAGGCAUCAAAACCUCAUACCAGCCAAGAGUAACCACAAGCACAAUCACACACGCAAGCCUUGGUGAUGUGAUUUCAAAGCGAAAUGCUGGUGGAAAUAACUGUGAUAAAGCCCAUAACCCAAUCAAGGGAAUCACUAACCAGGGUAACAUGGUUGCAACUCCCCGCGACCACUUCUGGAUCGAACACAGUAUACACAUUAUCCUUUCAACAGACACGUAUCUUCUUCCUUGUCUGGAAAGGGCAAUCAAAUCAAAAAUAAAUUUCUUGACUCACGAAAAUACUAUCAAAAUAAAAGAAACUCUCAAAUUUCCCUUCUGUCACAACAACAAUAACCCACAGCUCCAAUAAUCAAAUGAAACCCUCUACCUCAGAAAGUUCCCCUUUUCCCCAAAUUUUUCGAUUGCAAAAUACCAGCUCUCCAAUUGUUCAAAACCCUAACAAGGCGAAUCAUGAGAAAACACUGAUUCAAUGUCCAUCGGAGAUUAAUCGGCAACUAAUCGUCGGUGGCCGGAGCGGGCGACGACGGUCCCUUUAGGUGCAAUUUUUCCUCGAAAUCAACUGUGAAG
rnacentral:misc_RNA from 1 species